rnacentral:rRNA from 1 species
GAAGGUGGCAAGCGUUAUUCGGAUUUACUGGGCGUACAGGGAGCGUAGGCGGUUCGGUAAGCCCUCUGUGAAAUCUUCAGGCUUAACCUGGAAAAGUCGGGGGGGACUGCUGGGCUAGAGGACGGGAGAGGAGCGCGGAAUUCCCGGUGUAGCGGUGAGAUGCGUAGAGAUCGGGAGGAAGGCCGGUGGCGAAGGCGGCGCUCUGGAACGUUUCUGACGCUGAGGCUCGAAAGCGUGGGGAGCAAACAGGAUUAGAUACCCUGGUAGUCCACGCCUUAAACUAUGAAUACUAAGUGUCGGCGGUUUACCGCCGGUGCCGCAGCUAACGCAUUAAGUAUUCCGCCUGGGAAGUACGGCCGCAAGGUUG